rnacentral:rRNA from 1 species
UACAGAGGGGGCAAGCGUUGUUCGGAAUUACUGGGCGUAAAGGGCGCGUAGGCGGCCUUCUAAGUCGAACGUGAAAUCCCCGGGCUCAACCCGGGAACUGCGUCCGAUACUGGAAGGCUUGAAUCCGGGAGAGGGAUGCGGAAUUCCAGGUGUAGCGGUGAAAUGCGCAGAUAUCAGGAAGAACACCCGUGGCGAAGGCGGCUUUCUGGGACGGUACUGACGCUGAGACGCGAAAGCGUGGGGAGCGAACAGG